AGUGAACGCUGGCGGUAGGCCUAACACAUGCAAGUCGAACGGCAGCACAUGAGAGCUUGCUCUCUGGGUGGCGAGUGGCGGACGGGUGAGGAAUACAUCGGAAUCUACUCUGUCGUGGGGGAUAAGGUAGGGAAACUUACGCUAAUACCGCAUACGACCUACGGGUGAAAGCAGGGGACCUUCGGGCCUUGCGCGAUUGAAUGAGCCGAUGUCGGAUUAGCUAGUUGGCGGGGUAAAGGCCCACCAAGGCGACGAUCCGUAGCUGGUCUGAGAGGAUGAUCAGCCACACUGGAACUGAGACACGGUCCAGACUCCUACGGGAGGCAGCAGUGGGGAAUAUUGGACAAUGGGCGCAAGCCUGAUCCAGCCAUACCGCGUGGGUGAAGAAGGCCUUCGGGUUGUAAAGCCCUUUUGUUGGGAAAGAAAUCCAGCUGGCUAAUACCCGGUUGGGAUGACGGUACCCAAGGAAUAAGCACCGGCUAACUUCGUGCCAGCCGCCGCCGUAA
rnacentral:rRNA from 1 species